rnacentral:rRNA from 1 species
GAUGAACGCUGGCGGCGUGCUUAACACAUGCAAGUCGAACGAACCUUCGGGUUAGUGGCGGACGGGUGAGUAACGCGUGGGAAUCUGCCCUCAGGAGGGGGAUAACGGCUGGAAACGGCCGCUAAUACCCCAUAUGCCGCGAGGUGAAAUGAAUUUCGCCUGAGGAUGAGCCCGCGUCUGAUUAGCUAGUUGGUGGGGUAAAGGCCUACCAAGGCGACGAUCAGUAGCUGGUCUGAGAGGAUGAUCAGCCACACUGGGACUGAGACACGGCCCAGACUCCUACGGGAGGCAGCAGUGGGGAAUUUUCCGCAAUGGGCGAAAGCCUGACGGAGCAACGCCGCGUGAGGGAUGAAGGCCUCUGGGCUGUAAACCUCUUUUCUCAAGGAAGGAGACCUGACGGUACUUGAGGAAUAAGCCACGGCUAAUUCCGUGCCAGCAGCCGCGGUAA